GUGUGUUCCUGUUUUGUGUUUACUACUGAUGGACUUUGUGUCCGUAGGCCUACGAGAUCCUGCUCUUAGCCUCAGUUUUCUUUUCUAAAACACACGGAUAGUAAUUCCUGCUCUUCUGCUUCACGGAGCGCUUGUGGAAAAGAACACUACAAAAUGGUUAACAGUUUUCAGGAAAACAUUAAAACUCAGUUGACUGUGUUUCUGUGUUUUGUCUGGUCUUUUAGGUUGCUGACGGAGCUGGAGUCCCCUUCUUGGUGGCCCUUUAGCUCCAAGCUUUGGAAGAUGCCAGCAGAAACAAAGCUGAAGGGGGGCACCUCAACGGCUAGUCCCAAAGCUCUUAGAAAAGAAGGGGUAGUGGUCCGAAUUCCUGCUGUUAUCUCCCAGGGGACAGCAUCUCAUGUUAAAGCAGGAAGUCUUACCAUCCUUGUGUCUGGGUUGGAAAUCCAUGACUCGAGUUCUUUGCUCAUGCACAGAUUUGAAAGAGAAGAUAUAGACGACAUUAAGGUUCACACACCUUAUGAAAUUAGCAUCCGCCAACAGUUCAUCGGGAAGCCAGACAUAGCUUAUCGCCUGAUAACUGCCUAGAUGCCCGAGGCUGUCCCCAUUUUGGAGGUGCAGUUCAACAAGAAGAUGGAGUUGUUAGAAGGAGGCUUGAUGCCUGGAAGUGCCAGCACAUCUUCCCCAGCAGAGAAGGGCUGCUAUGUCUGGCAGGCGGCACCGCAGGAGGCCCGCCCGCCGGCCGCCGACCCUGCGGCCAACAAGCCCUACCCCGGCCCGGCCAUCCUGAGCACCUACCGCCCUCCCUCCCGGCACCGCGCUAGCCAGCCCGUACCCCGGAGGGGUCCUUCAGGCCUCCGGCCGGGCAGCCCUCCUGCGGGUCCUUGCGCGGUUGCGUAG